UUUAUACAGAUGUUUAUAUCAUUCUGGUGGAAUGUUUAUUCCUUACUUUUGUUUUUCUCUUUCUUUUCUACUUUUGUAAUUAUCUCAGUGGGUAGCCAUAUUUUCUGCUUUGCUCUUUUCCACCGCAAAUCUCAUGUUGAAAGGGUAGCCAUGCUUUCUGCCUUGCUCUUUUCCACCGCAAAUCUCAUGUUGAAAGGGUAGCCAUGCUUUCUGCUUUGCUCUUUUACUUUGCUUUGCUUUUACUUUCCCUUUUCUUUCUCUUUUCCUUGCGCUGCAUUUAUUAUUCUCUUGCUCUUGCUGAGGUCCAGGU
rnacentral:lncRNA from 1 species